GUGGGUGUAGCUCAGUGGUAGAGCGUAUCCUUAGCAUGCACAGGGUCCUGAGUUCAAUCCCCAGCACCUCCA
rnacentral:tRNA from 1 species